rnacentral:rRNA from 1 species
UACGUAGGGUGCAAGCGUUGUCCGGAAUUAUUGGGCGUAAAGAGCUCGUAGGCGGUCUGUCGCGUCUGCUGUGAAAACCUAGGGCUUAACUCUGGGCGUGCAGUGGGUACGGGCAGGCUAGAGUGCGGUAGGGGAGACUGGAAUUCCUGGUGUAGCGGUGAAAAUGCGCAGAUAUCAGGAGGAACACCGGUGGCGAAGGCGGGUCUCUGGGCCGUAACUGACGCUGAGGAGCGAAAGCAUGGGGAGCGAACGG